ensembl:lncRNA
UCUCUCUCUCUUUUUUUAACCACCUGUUCCAGAAUCCCAUCCUGAGCACUCAAUUUCUAGGGCCACUUCCAGUACCAACUGUCAGAGUUUGGAUUUCCCUUAAGACAGAGCCCAGGAUAAGGGCCUGGGGGCAGAGAGUUUAUUUAGGGGACUAGAGGAAGCAGGAGUAAGGAAGCAAGGAGAGAGAGGAGGGCAAGUCAGUACCGGAUGCAGUAUUGAGCUGGUGCCAAUGUCAGCAACCAGUGCUCAGGUCUGCUGGGGACCUUCAGAGAUGGGGGAAGACCACUGGUCUACCUGAGCUCUGCUCAGCCCCAGUGCCCACCUCCCACAGUUAGGAGGCCAGUGCCUGCUCGGCUCCAAGAGAGCGCUUGAGGACCCCUGGUGGGCUGGGAAGGUCACUGUCCCCGGGACUGUGAGGCCGGCUUGGUUUGAAGAUGCUUGUGAGCGUUGCCUUAUAUGUCACACAGACACACAUUCAUAUGCACACAUACACAGGACUCCUGGCCAAGCUUCCAGGUUUAGCAAAUAAAAGCACAUUUGGAUUCCAGGUAAACAAUAUAUUUGGAACAUACUUAUACUGAAAAAACUAUUCAGUGUCUGAAAUUAGGGUUAGAGUAUCUGGGCAUCUUAUCUGGCAGUCCUACUCCCAGUGUGUGUGAGCAGCAAAGCCUCCACCUCUCUGUCCAACGUACUCCAGAUACCAAGAGCAUAAGGGAGCAGAGGAGAAAGAGAGAAACAGGACGUCAUCAAAGUGCUUUAAAGGACGCUGUCAAGAAAGUGAAAGGACCACCCACAGAAUGAUAGAACAUUUUUGCAAAUCGUGUAUAUGUGAUAAGUCACUUUUAUAUUGAAUAUAUUUACAUCUGAGUAAUGACAACCAAUUGAAGACAGGCAAAGGAAAAAGAUAAACCUGUGGACAAUAAGUUUAUGGAAAGGAAAGGUACUCAAGAUAGCCAUGAGAAAAAGGCAAAUCAAAACCACAAUGAAACCACAUCAUACCCACUAGGAUGGCUGUAAUAAAAAAAGAAAACAUCAAGUGUUGAGGAUGCAGAGAAUUCAAAAGCUCAUACUCUGGCAGUGAGAAUGUAAAAUGUGACAACCACUUUGGAAGCCAGUCUGGCAUUUCCUCAUUAAAUACAGCAUUUGACUGAAAUUCCUACCCUAGAUAUGUACCCAAAAGAAAUGAAAACAUCCACACAAAAACUUGUACACAAAUGUUCAAAGCAACAUUAUUCAUAAUAGCCAAAAAGAAGAAAAAGCCCAAAUGUUUCCAUCAGUGGAUGAAAGAAUAAACAAAAUGGGGUCAUCCAUAGAAUAGAAUAUUAUUUAGCCGUGAAAAGGAUGAUGUAUAGAUUCCACGCUGCAACAUACAUAGGUGAAAUGACAGCAUUAUACUAAGUGAAAGAAGCUUAGACAAGAAAAGCCACAUAUUGUAUGACUAUGAUUCCAGUUAACAUGAAACGUCUAGAACAGGCAAAUGCAUGGAGACAGAAAGUAGACUGGUAAGUUGUCUAGGGCUGGGGGAGUUGGGAGGUGAGGAAUGACUGUUAAAGGGUGUGGGGUUUCUUUCUAGGAUAUGUCAAAUUGUGAUGACUGGUUAGACACUCUGGAUACUGAAGACCACUGGAUAUGGUGAUGAAUUACAUCUCAAUAAAGUUGUUUUUAAAACAACACACAAGCUCAAGCAAAGGCUUUGCCAAGUGGCCAGCCUUGGUGGAGCAAUGGAGGAUUCACGCCGUGGAGACCAGUGGAUGCCCAUGUAGGCUGUGGCUUAGUAGAAGAUGUACCGGGCCAGGGACUCAGAUGUGAAAAGACAAGAUUCACACCAGCAGUUAAUCCUUGCAUGUAAUAUCUGGGGAAAUUUUCCAUCCAUUUCAACUGGAAUCGAGGAUCAAGAAUUCUGUGUGAGAAAAUCUCCUCCCAUCUGAGAGUCGACUUUCAGAGCACAACCUUCCUAGAUGGCAGCACCCCUCUCUAGACUGCGAAUGUGGCAAACAGCCCUCUGCAAGAGCCCUUUGCAGCUGCUGUCCUUGGGCUUGGAGUGCUUUCCCCCAGUUGUGCACAUACUGGGAAUUCAGCAACCUGGAAAGAAGGGCAGGACGCUGCAAACGGAACGGUACCAGCAAAGACACUGUAGUGGAAGUGAGAAGGCAGAGCUAAGAGUGGAAGGCAGGAGCGCAGGAGGGGGCGGCACUCAGCACAACUUAACAUCCAGCGAUUUUGCCUGGGGCAACGACCAGCCUCCCAUCCCUACACACAGCACCACGGAGACUGGAGAGCCAUCUGCCAGGGGGUACUGAGCGGAGGUUGAAUGCUUUCCAAGGCCCUUCUGGAUUCUAAUUCUCAUUGGCUGGAGUGGCCCUGCUGAAUCUCAGGCAGAGAAGGGACUGAGCCCUCCCGUGCAGUGACAGGCCAUCACCCAGCAGCUCCACGUGCUCAGGAGUCUUUCCCAGAGCUUCACAACUGCACCUGCACACGAGGAGCAGGCACCUCCUGCUGCACUUCCUCUCCUUCACCACGCAGAACCUAGUGAGGCCUUGCUCAGCGUUUAGCUCCUAGAAACGUUCUCCAUUUCAUGACCAGUUCUUCUCAGUGUAAAUGUUUAGGCUCUACCCUCAGGAAGUAUACUUCAUGGGUCUGACUAGAACUCAGACACCUGUGUGACUCGCAAGCAGCCUAGUGACCCUGCUGUGAUGGUUCAUGGUCUGCACUUGGAGAAACAAAGUCAGUCUCAAGUCUGUGGUGGGCGUCAAAGAAGAGCCAAAAUUAUGAGUUUAAAAAAAUUAAAACCAUAUUAGAUGGCCAAUCACAGUAUAUGAUCCAGAAUUUUUCAGAGGCUAGAGUUCCAGACAUUUCCUCAUCUUCUCCAUCUCAGCUUUCUUCAUGACCAUAACCCCCCAUCCCCUGCCAAGAGCCAAACCAAGAAAUCUCAAUGUGCCUGUUGUUCUGUUUUGGGCUGUGUGAUAUGGCUUGCAGGAUCUUAGUUCCCCAACCAGGGAUUGAACCUUGCACCCAGACAGUGAGAGAACCGAGUCCCAACCACUGGACCUCCAGGAACUUCCUCACUAUGUCCACUGUGACCCAGCAUCUAAGUAGGCUCCUGUCAAGGAUCCCACAUUCAGAAGCACCUUUCCAGUCCUGGUUGCUGGUGCGAAGUACUGCACCACACAGAAGGACAUGCAGCACGUAAAACCCUAAAGGCAGGCGUGUGUAAGCGGCCAUGAGAAUGAGACAGCCCGUGUGUGGCAUGCAGUGUGCCGUGUGCAGAGGACAGGCUGGGGUCAAGGGAGGGAGGUUCCAGGUUUGAGAUUAGAGGAGAAAUAAAUGGUUGUUUGUAAAAAG